CCGCGGCGUGGGCCCGGCGCUCCGCGGGGAGCGGCCCCUCAGCGAGUCCCGCCGGGACGGGCCGCAGCGCUUCGCGAGCAGCGGCCCCGUCCCCUCGCAGGGUGGUUGUGGCAGCGGAGCUGGGAGUGCUGGUGUGCGCUGGGGCUGCCAGAACGGGGCUCGGUACCGGUUGAGCCGAGACACGGGAUUUGCCCGACCUGACUGGAGUGUGUUUGCCUCAGAAAGUGACCCUGGCCGUCCUGCUGCUCUCAUGCCCGUCUUACACCUCUUAAACUGGUCGCCCCUCGUACCUGCCUGUGUAUUUAGGUCACGGACAGAGCCAGGAGCAGCAUUUCUCCUUUUCAGUGCGCUAGUGCGAGAGAACCAGUGUAGUGUAAAGCAACAAAACCUGCCUUUGGUCAUGAGAUUUGCCCGAAGGUACCUCUUGGAAGUUGGGUUGCUUGCAAAGCAUUUUAAAGUACAGCGCCAUUCCUUUCCCCUGCUGCAUAUUACUUAUUAACUGUGGAGACCUGUUGGCAUUUGAAAGUAGGCCAAGGAGGAAGGCUUCAUGAAUCACACUUUGAAAUCAAACACAUUUUGUGGGAUCGUUUUUUAAAUGCAAAUUAUAUAUAUAUAAAUAUAUAUAUAUAUAUAUAUAUAUAUAUGUAUGCUGCAAAUGUGGUGCAAAGAUAGGAGAAAAUGGAGCCCUGGCAAGUUUCUGGUAAAAACUGCUCUUUGCCAUUGUAUCUGGAUAAAAGUACAUUUUAGUUUCUGGGUUCAUAUUUGCAUCCCCUUUCUGAAAAAUACGAUCUUCAAGCCGGGGAAGACGGGACGGGAAAUGCAAUGGCAUCUCUUAUUUGCCCGUUGCAUUGUCUGCUUGCGUUUGUUCCUGGAAGCCUCCAAAUGCUGUACUUUGUACACACCACUUCUCCUCUACAGUAUGUCACUGUAAGAUAAGAAAACGAAACCAAAGUUGCUGUCUCUGGCCGAGGGAAGCUGGAACUGCAAGGCUUUUACUCAGUGUAAAUACUGGGCAGCUAUUUGAAGACACUCUGUCUGUGAAGAAUAUUAAUUAUGUUCCAGGAAUGGAGCCAUAAUGUAAACUCAGUUUAUUUGGCAAAAACAGUACACAUUGUUCUGCUCCUAAGGGAAAAGUGUGGGGGUGGGGGAAUCUAGCUUCUGCUCACACUACCAUAUUUGUAAGCUAGAAUACUAAUUACAGGAGCAAAACCAAUAAUACGAGCAAAACUGCCCUGAUGAGGAUGUCAUGUGGUCCAAGGCCACCCUCAAAGCCAAAUUUGGUGUUUACUAAUCUGCAAAGGACCAAGGUUGAUGUGAGGCAAAGCAGUUUGCUACCCUCCAGAACACAUCUGGCUCCCUGAGACCAAGUGCACCCUACCUGCUUGAGCAGAUCCAGUGUUGCGGUACAGGAGUCUUUACUAGCCUUUGUAUGAAGCCAGUGGUACCUUAGCAGAGUCUCCAGGCUGUUAGUGAGAAGUUGCCUAUGAGGCCCCUGUGCUCAUGAGCUGUGGGAACACUCCAUACUCUGAGUAGUUCUUGAAGCAGCUCAUUAAGAGUGCCACAGCAAUGCUCAUUGAAUCCGUUCUUGGGCUCUCUAAUGAAAAGUUGUUUAUUAUUAGAGGAGUGGUGUUGUACCAGCAAUAUGUACAGAGUGUGGGUGUAUCUAUGCUUGCAAACACACCUUUCAUACACGUGUUCUUGAAACCACCUCCUAUCAAAGGCAUAGCUUUGCUGAAGUCAUAACUUAGAAAUGCUCCUGAUAACAGCUAUGUCCCACCACUCCUUAUCCCAGUUGACAUAGCUGUCAGUUAAAGGGGUUUUUCGUGUUUUUUAAUAGAUGCAGCCAAACGUUUUGCUGGUGUAAAACCCCCUAAAGGCCUCUAGAAUAGAGGUUCCUGUAGCACACUUGGCUUGAGAAUCGCCGUCAGCUGAUAAUUAAGGAAGUUCUGCUGGAUAGUUGGGAAAUUACAGUACUACAUGAGAACAUCUAUGAAGUCAAGCUUCUGCCAUUUGGAUCUGGGAGUUCACCUUCUGCAACACCAACAUCCCCCUUUAACAACUGUUUGCAAGAAUCUGGGAUAGAUGUGAAUAUGGGAUGUCAAGGAGUAUGGGAUGUGUUCCAGCAACUUCAACACUCACAGGACCUUUUCCCACUGCCAGGCUGGAUGCUCCCUACAUCUCUUCCCUCUCUAGUUUUCAGUCUGGACAAGAAAACCCAUGCAUGGGUCAGAAACAUUAUUUUUGCAGUGAUGUGAGCUUGUGUGGUCAUUAAAUAAAACUGUUGCUAGCUCAGAUGCAGAAAUGCUUCCAAGAAACCCUUUGCCCCAUGUCCCACCCUGGACAGCCCUCCUGGAUAAAAUAAUCUACAAUAUUAUCAGACUACAUUGGGCCAGUCUCUGCAGCUGUUUACAUCAGAGGAACCACACAGAUGGCAGGAACCAUCUAGAGGGUGGGGGCACUGCAGCAUUAUCAGCACAUUAUCUCCUGCUAUGCCACAUAGCCUCUUCCCUUGAUUCUUCAAACAGGAUUUUCCUGUUACUGUGUGUGGGCUGGAAGGUUUAACUACAGUCUGACUUUUCCUGCUGCUAAGAUUGUCACUGCCUCUCAGAGGUCUUUGUGGAUGUUGAGUAAGGAGGCAGAAACCUGCUGAGUGGAGUAGUAACAAUGCUCUGCAAACCCAAUCUUUCUAAAGGACAGCUGUCAUCACCACCAAACAGCCAAAGGAGCAGCCGUCCCCUUUACAUUAAGGAACAGUUUUUGUCUUAAGCCUCUUUUGUAUCUUGUAAGAAGAUUAAAAUAAUUAAAGAGAAACCAACUGACCUGUUUACUAUUAAACUUAUGACACAUAGCUUCAUCUUAUACAUGGCCAGAAUAAGCUAAAGGACGUGAUAAUACAGCCUUUAUGCUGCUCUUGAGGACUUCCAAGCUGGAAUACUUUGCUUGCAUCCAUCUCCAGAGGAUCCCCAAAGCUUCCUAGUUGCACACAUGUGCCACCC